rnacentral:snRNA from 1 species
AUUGAUACCUGGCAGGGGAGAUACCAUGAUCACAAAGGUGGUUUUCCCAGAGCAAGUUUCAUCCAUUGCACUCCGGAUGUGCUGCCCCGUGAUUUCCCCAAGUGUGGGAAACUUGACUGCAUAAUUUGUGUGUGUGGGGGAGGAAGUAGGUGGUACUAGGUUUGUGCUCUCCCA